GAGGUGUUAGCAUCUGCCCUGGUGCGAAACUGAGGCCUGCUCCUCGAUGUAACUAGAAGGAUGCAAGGAACUAGGAUGAAAUUUUGUCUGCUGUGGCUUGAUUUUAUUUAACACCUUAUGCAUGUGCCUCAAAAAUGAUGUUGGGGAACCCCAACUGCAUCCUCCUAAGGCCCCUCUCUGGGAUAUGCAGGCCUUGGUGGUCUUGUUGGUCAUUUCCUGUGUAAAAGUUUGUGCAGCAUGCCUCCAGUUGUGUAAAGAAUGUAAAAGGGAAAUGUCUCAAAACAGAAGAAGACGCCUGUGGGCAGCACCUUCUGCAGAGUGAUCCUGGGAGCUGGAAAGAAGACUCACUUUUCAUUUUACAACCUUGGGCACUGUAAGGAUAUUUUGGGCUUGGCCACAGCAACUCAAUAUCAGAAG
rnacentral:lncRNA from 1 species